GACGAACGCUGGCGGCACGCUUAACACAUGCAAGUCGAACGGAGUUAUCGAGAGCUUGCUUUUGAUAACUUAGUGGCGGACGGGUGAGUAACACGUGAGCAAUCUGCCCUUAAGAGGGGGAUAGCAGUUGGAAACGACUGAUAAUACCGCAUAAGAUAGUAGUACCGCAUGGUACAGCUAUAAAAGAUUUAUCGCUUAAGGAUGAGCUCGCGUCUGAUUAGCUAGUUGGUGAGGUAACGGCUCACCAAGGCAACGAUCAGUAGCCGGACUGAGAGGUUGGACGGCCACAUUGGGACUGAGACACGGCCCAGACUCCUACGGGAGGCAGCAGUGGGGAAUAUUGCACAAUGGAGGAAACUCUGAUGCAGCGAUGCCGCCUGAGGGAAGAAGGUUUUAGGAUUGUAAACCUCUGUGACAGCGACGAU
rnacentral:rRNA from 1 species